rfam:Holospora undulata HT1 contig000185, whole genome shotgun sequence.
GCCCAGGUAGCUCAGUUGGUAGAGCAUAGGACUGAAAAUCCUUGUGUCGCUGGUUCGAUUCCUGCCCUGGGCA